CCGAGAGGUAAUAAUCACCACAGUAAUUUAAAAGAAAAAAAAAAUAAAAUUGUUUCCCCAACUUCACACUCCGUCUUCAGCCCCGGACCUGGGAGCCAUCCUCAUCAUAUAGAUCGCUCCCACCUUGUCUUGGCAAACCUUGCAGCCUGCUCCAGGCCCCCCGCCCUCCCCAAGUCAGACUGUCUCGGAGCUUUAGCUUAGUCUUUUUAAUUAGCCGGCGAUGGGAAGCUAAAAGCCGUAAUGAAUUGCCGGCGGCGGACGGCGGGAGGAGGGGUGAAGGCAAAGGGUGUGGGGGGAGGGGCGCUCGCGGCAGCAGCGGCCAACCCCCGAGGCGCGGCGGUUCCGUUACAAAGUCACGUGAGGCCGUCAGGAUCCAUUGGCUGUCGUGAGAACGGGAACGGGUGACAAGCCGUGUCCCGGCAGCGCGGGGCGGCCCCGCACAUGCACAACACCGCGAGGGGAGGGAAUCACUGCCACGCUCCCCCCGCCGUCGAGAGAGGGGGAAGGGGCGUCCUGGGGGUGAGGCGGCGGAGCGCUCCAGGUAAACCACCCGCACUCCCGGUGUCCCGGGGCUCUCGCUCCGGAAUGCUCAACACCACCACCCCUCAGCGGCCCCCUGCCCGCGCCCACCGCUCUCCGGACGAGUGGGGCGCAUUCUUGUCAGGAGCUGUGUCGCUGGAACCGCUCCCGCCUGGAUAGCUAAUACCGGAGAAAGGCACAAUGCUUUUACGCCCCCCCAAGUGCACCGUCAAGUACGAUUUGUGUGGCUACAGCGCUCUCGCCCUCUUAUUUCCCUCAACUCAUUCUGCUGGUGGGAUUGUUCUUUCCUUCGUCUUCUUUUUAGAAGCCAAAAAUACAUCCUUAGUUGUCUCAACUCCCAGAACUCUUUAGCACUCCCCUUUGCAGAGAAAAAAAAAAAAAAAAACA